GGGUGUUUGUGGGCCUGCUGAGAAAGCUCAUUAACCCUCUGGCCCUCUUCGGUCAUUUCUGACCGAAAAAAAUUAUAUUUUGAAAU